UUUUUUUUUUUUUUUGCCUUUCCCUAAGGCUUUUAUAUUGACAGUUAAUUAAAUCUGGAUUUCCACUAGGUCAAUCUGUUUCAGGAAACAGAAAAGUCAAAAAGAGCAAAGAACUUAAAGUCUCCCUUGAUAAGUCCUAAUUAGCUGGCCAAUCACAAAUCAUCCUAGUGUUUAAGCUAAUAACUAAGCCAAGGUAUGAUUUCAUGCAAAGUUUUAACAGGACAUAUUCAAAAUAAGACAGAGAAGAGGAUAUCCAUAAAGAUGAAUUGAGGAAAGGUCAGCUUGAUUCAAAGGUGCAUCCAUUUGAGCACUCCACUACCACUAAAGCUCAGUUACACAUACACAUGCACACACACUAGCAUGUGCACACACAAAAACAUGUGCACACAUGCAUACACAUGCCCAAACACCUGGAAGCACAGACACAUACUUGCAAAGGCACAUACACAGGUAUAAUACUGAUAUCUAACUGCACAUGCCCAUAUAAACACACAUGACAUGCACACACAUGCACAUGGAUGCACACUUCCAUCUUACCUCCCAAACAAAAUUCUAAGUUUCAUAAGGCUAGUACGUGGUCCUCUACUUGUGAAUUUCCCCAACACUUGGCACUGGGCUAAGCCCACAUUAAGUACUCAACAAAAACAAGUUAACUCAAAAUGUUUACAUAAUUUUCUACAUUGGUAUGUCUAAAUUUACUAACCAUUUGACCUUCUUUAUACAACUUAAUAUCUUGUUUUUCCCAAAUGAAAACUGAAUGACCCCUACUUUUCUCAUAGAGUUACAGCAGUGGUCAAAGCUGAUGAUCCUUGAGCUCAUGCACUUUUCUAAAGGGAAAUGCAAGCUUGACAAAUGUUCACAACCUCAUAAAAUGCUAUAUAUAAUAAGACUGGAGACAAAAAGAAUGUUCAUCAAGAGAGGUGGAACAAUCUCUGAAGCAGGAAGUGUAGAUUUUCUUUUCUGAAAAGAGUAGGUUCACUUUGUUUCCUUUUUGGCUUUUAUGUGUUUAAAGAUAAUGCUGAUUUGACUUUACUAUUCCAUGUUACAGUAUCAUACUAAUUGCUCUUAAGGAAAGAAUAAAUAGAAAGUGGCACAGUUAUUGCAGACAUUUCAAACCUAUGAAUGGAUUUCCAUGUUAAUAGAAAGCAAAAACAAUCCUCAAAUUGAGGCUUAAAGACACAUGAGACAUGACAUUAAGCCUGAUCCACUAGUACAUCUAAGCACUUCAAGGCUACUUGAUAUAUUUGAAGCAGAAUGUUUUAUCAUAAAGCUGUAUUUUUCAUACUCUUAUACAUUAUGGCCCUGUAGUAGGAAGAAUAAUGCUCCCCACCAAAAUGUCUAUACUCUAAUAAUCAGACCUUGAAUACAUGAGGCUAAAUUCAGGACCCAAAAAAGUAACAAACAAAACAUGCAUCUUUAUCCAACAAGCACAUUAUAGGACUGUCUUCUCUCUCCUAAGGUUCUCUUAAUAUUCCCUCUGAGAACAUGUGGCUCCCAAUUUUUUUUUGUAGUCUUCAACACUGAGAU
rnacentral:lncRNA from 1 species